rnacentral:rRNA from 1 species
CCUACGGGAGGCAGCAGUGAGGAAUAUUGGACAAUGGGCGCAAGCCUGAUCCAGCCAUGCCGCGUGCAGGAAGACGGUCCUAUGGAUUGUAAACUGCUUUUGUACAGGAAGAAACACUCCCUCGUGAGGGAGCUUGACGGUACUGUAAGAAUAAGGAUCGGCUAACUCCGUGCCAGCAGCCGCGGUAAUACGGAGGAUCCAAGCGUUAUCCGGAAUCAUUGGGUUUAAAGGGUCCGUAGGCGGUUUAAUAAGUCAGUGGUGAAAUCUGGUCGCUCAACGAUCAAACGGCCAUUGAUACUGUUAGACUUGAAUUAUUAGGAAGUAACUAGAAUAUGUAGUGUAGCGGUGAAAUGCUUAGAUAUUACAUGGAAUACCAAUUGCGAAGGCAGGUUACUACUAAUGGAUUGACGCUGAUGGACGAAAGCGUGGGGAGCGAACAGGAUUAGAUACCCUGGUAGUCCACGCCGUAAACGAUGGAUACUAGCUGUUCGGAGCAAUCUGAGUGGCUAAGCGAAAGUGAUAAGUAUCCCACCUGGGGAGUACGUUCGCAAGAUGAAACUCAAAGGAAUUGACGG